AUGAACGCUGGCGGCGUGCCUAAUACCUGCAAGUCGAGCGAACGGACGAGAAGCUUGCUUCUCUGAUGUUAGCGGCGGACGGGUGAGUAACACGUGGAUAACCUACCUAUAAGACUGGGAUAACUUCGGGAAACCGGAGCUAAUACCGGAUAAUAUUUUGAACCGCAUGGUUCAAAAGUGAAAGACGGUCUUGCUGUCACUUAUAGAUGGAUCCGCGCUGCAUUAGCUAGUUGGUAAGGUAACGGCUUACCAAGGCAACGAUGCAUGGCCGACCUGAGAGGGUGAUCGGCCACACUGGAACUGAGACACGGUCCAGACUCCUACGGGAGGCAGCAGUAGGGAAUCUUCCGCAAUGGGCGAAAGCCUGACGGAGCAACGCCGCGUGAGUGAUGAAGGUCUUCGGAUCGUAAAACUCUGUUAUUAGGGAAGAACAUAUGUGUAAGUAACUGUGCACAUCUUGACGGUACCUAAUCAGAAAGCCACGGCUAACUACGUG
rnacentral:rRNA from 1 species